GAUGAGAUAAUGAUAAAUCAGAUUUUUUCUCAUGAUUUUUAGCUUUUUCCUCCUAAAAAAAUUUAAAUUUAACUAAAAAUGCUAAAAAUCAAGAGUAAAAAACCUAAUUUGUUAUUCUCUUAUU
rnacentral:pre_miRNA from 1 species